GUCUUGAGCCAACCCUUGGAGUAUGUCACCUUGAGACCCAACCGUUCCGCCUCGGUUGGAGUAAUGAAAUUGUGAGUGGCGCCCGUAUCAAUCAUUAUGUGGACGACCUUGUUGUUGAUGUGCUCCUGCACGUACAUGAGACUCCUAUCACCCGCCUGGUGAGGAGUGGGCUUAACAUUUAGUGCGCUAAGCAGCUUCAGACAUCCUAUGGAAGCU
rnacentral:lncRNA from 1 species